rnacentral:rRNA from 1 species
CAGCCGCCGCGGUAAAACGUAGGUGGCAAGCGUUGUCCGGAAUUAUUGGGCGUAAAGGGCUCGCAGGCGGUUUCUUAAGUCUGAUGUGAAAGCCCCCGGCUCAACCGGGGAGGGUCAUUGGAAACUGGGAAACUUGAGUGCAGAAGAGGAGAGUGGAAUUCCACGUGUAGCGGUGAAAUGCGUAGAGAUGUGGAGGAACACCAGUGGCGAAGGCGACUCCCUGGUCUGUAACUGACGCUGAGGAGCGAAAGCGUGGGGAGCAAACAGGAUUAGAUACCCCUGUAGUCCCUGUCUCUUAUAC